GCCACAGAUCCUCCGUGUGCCGGUGGCGGAGAAGGAGAAGUUUCCAAGUCCAGAAGGGUUACUCUGGCUCUUGGUAUCGGCCUCGGCCUGCUUUUCACCCUUAAGGCUCUUGCUGCAGUGAUACACCUCUAUACCAAUGAACAAGCAAAGCUUCAUCGGAUGGAAAAACUGCACAGGAAUCUGUCAGCAACCUUGAAUACCACCGACUUAAUUGCAGGGGUAGAGGACCUACUUGUCAAGCACAAACAUUUGUUGACCCUCCAGAUGUCUUUUGAUGCCACCUCUGGUUGUAGGGUCUGUCCUGAUGGGUGGGCUCACAACAGUGGGAAGUGCUACCUCUUCUCCUCCACUAGAAAGACCUGGAGUCAGAGUCGAGAUCACUGCAUCACAUUAGGGGGGCAUCUGGCCAUUGUGAACAGUCAAGAGGAACAGGU